rnacentral:lncRNA from 1 species
AAAAAAAGAAAAAAAAAAACGGUCAUGAGGCCAGUUCUGCCAUUGUGUGAUCUGUAAGUGGAGGUCUUCUUCUUUGGGCCUCAGCUAUAAAAUAAAUGAGUCAUGUUACUGUGGCUUUGUUUGGUUUUGUUGAGACAGGGUCUCGCUCUGUUGCCCAGGCUGGAGUGCAGUGGCACAAUCAGCUCACUGCAGCCUCAACCAUCUGGGCUCAAGUGAUCUUGCCACCUCAGCCUCCCGAGUAGCUGGGACUACAGGCACGCACCACCACACCCAGCUAAUGUUUUCAUUUUUUUUUUUUAGAGACAGGGUCUCACUUUGUUGCCCAGGCUGGUCUCAAAUUCCUGGGCUCCUGUCUCGGUCUCCCAAAGUUUCGGGAUUACAGGCGUGAGCCGCCGCACCUGGCCAGGUUACUGUUGGUAUAGGAAGUCUACCCGCAAGUUUAGGGAGCUGGAGGCAGCCCUAACACGGAGGGAAGCAUUGUCUUCUCAUGCCAGGUUUAGCUCCCACCAUUAGCCGCAAAUUUUAUGUAUUUAUUUACUUUUUGAGAUGAAGUCUUGUGCUGUCGCCCAGGCUGGAGUGCAGUGGUGUGGUCUUGGCUCACUGCAACCUCCACCUCCUGGGUUCAAAUGAUUCUCCUACCUCAGCCUCCCAAGUAGCUGGGACUACAGGCAUCCGCCACCACACUCUGCUAAUUUUUUUUGCAUUUUUAGUAGAGACGGGGUUUCACCAUGUUGGCCAGGAUGGUCUGAAACUCCUGACCUCAGGUGAUCCAAAAGUGCUGGGCUCCCAAAGUGCUGGGAUUGCAAGCGUGAGCCACCACACCCAGCCAGCCCCAAAUUUUAACACAUCAGCAAUAAUUUAUAGCUGGGGCUCACAACUCUUCUGAGGGGAUGAAAAGCUAAAGCAAUCAGCAUCUUGAAGGCGAGGGAUGUGUCAGGGAUGAGAAACAGAAGGAAGGUCUCUUGGGACCCACUUUCUCCAUGAGGGCCUCUAGUGAGCCUCCGCCAGCAGCCAGAUUGCAACCCAGUAUGGCUUCCAGGGUCAGGCUGUUUUAUCUAUAAGUGCAAAAUUACUGUUUAUCCCAUAGAAAGGACACGUCUCCCAACUCCUUACCAUCUAGAGGCGUCACUGCGACCGCAGCUAUGGAACCUGCCACACAGCCUGACACGAAGGAAUGUGCAAAGGACGCCUUACCGGCGAGCUCGUUGAACCCCAGGUUGUUAAGGUUGGCAAACAGUGGGAAGUAGAUGAUGGAGAAAGGAAUGUCUCUGCAGAAGAGGAAGGAGAAACACUGAGCUCCGAGCUGCCCUGGGGCUGCCACCCAAGAUGGAGUCUCGCUCUGUCACCUAGGCUGGAGUGCAAUGGUGCGAUCUCCGCUCGCUGCAACCUCUGCCUCCCGGGUUCAAGUGAUUCUCCUGCCUCAGCCUCCCGAGUAGCUGAGAUUACAGAGCACAGAGGCUCAUCAGGAAGGACCCCCUGGCAGCCCUGGCCCCAUCCCCGCAGCAACGGAAGGAACACCAGUUCCCCAUGUCCCAUACGCUCACACCUGCUGCCCAGCCUCCCAGGGGACCUGAGAAGCCCACCUCGGUACAUGCCGAAGAAGCCCUCCGCCCGAGCCGUCUUCAUCAGGCAGUCGAUCCUGGAAGCAGAGGCCAGAGUAGGAGCGGGAGGCAGACUGUGAACAAAAUAUUUGGAGAUGGAUUUACCUGGAAGUGGUAAGAGUAGAUGAUAGUGGGCCUUUCACAAAGGAAGAAACUUGGGACGAUAAAGAGAACUGUAAACUUAAUUUUGUAGUUAGAGAAGAUGAACCCAAACAAUUAAACUAUGUUGAACAAUAACA